rnacentral:pre_miRNA from 1 species
CACUGGAAGGUUUGGUUUAGCUGCUGUGCACCGUCAUGUCGACACAGUCAGAUCUAACUCUUCCAGUUCU